CCUACGGGAGGCAGCAGUGGGGAAUUUUGGACAAUGGGCGCAAGCCUGAUCCAGCAAUGCCGCGUGAGUGAAGAAGGCCUUCGGGUUGUAAAGCUCUUUUGUCAGGGAAGAAACGGCAGUUUCUAAUACAGAUUGCUAAUGACGGUACCUGAAGAAUAAGCACCGGCUAACUACGUGCCAGCAGCCGCGGUAAUACGUAGGGUGCAAGCGUUAAUCGGAAUUACUGGGCGUAAAGCGUGCGCAGGCGGUUUUGUAAGUUUGUCGUGAAAUCCCCGGGCUCAACCUGGGAAUGGCGAUGAAGACUGCAAGGCUAGAAUCUGGCAGAGGGGGGUAGAAUUCCACGUGUAGCAGUGAAAUGCGUAGAGAUGUGGAGGAACACCGAUGGCGAAGGCAGCCCCCUGGGUCAAGAUUGACGCUCAUGCACGAAAGCGUGGGGAGCAAACAGGAUUAGAUACCCUGGUAGUCCACGCCCUAAACGAUGUCUACUAGUUGUCGGGUUUUAAUUAACUUGGUAACGCAGCUAACGCGUGAAGUAGACCGCCUGGGGAGUACGGUCGCAAGAUUAAAACUCAAAUGAAUUGACGGCUGAGACGNGCGAGACGACGACGAGGGAGGAGG
rnacentral:rRNA from 1 species